rnacentral:rRNA from 10 species
GCUUACGGCCAUACCACCAUAAGGCACGCCCGAUCUCGUCUGAUCUCGGAAGCUAAGCAGGGUCGGGCCUGGUUAGUACUUGGAUGGGUGACCGCCUGGGAAUACCAGGUGCUGUAAGCA